rnacentral:lncRNA from 1 species
CACCUCCACCUCCUUCCCCACCACCUCCACCUCCACUUCCACGUUUAUGUUUAGUAUUUCCAAGAUUAUGUUCACCCCCACCACCACCACCACCCCCCUCCCCUCCUCCGCCACCACCUUCUCCACCUCCGCCUCCUUCCCCACCACCUCCACCUCCGUCACCACCGCCACCUCCACGUAUAUGCUUAGUAUUUCCAAGAUUAUGUUCACCACCACCACCACCAAUUGUCCGAUCACCUUAAACAAUUGACCAUUGACAUACUGAAAAAAAUGUCAUAUUUUCUUUCCAUCGUCUCUUAAACCUCUCCAUUUCCGUAUAUAUAUAUAUAUCAUCAAUAAACAACCAAAGUGCAUAAUUACCGUCUUCAAUCGUCUCUACUAGACAAAUAAAAAACGGUAGUUUUCGUUUACGUUUUCAAGAAUAAGACCAUUUAGUAAUCUUUCUUCUAUAGAGAAAUUACUUAGUAAUAAGAUUGAUCGAGGCCUCGUACUUCGGUCCACAUGCCUAACAACAUAUAGUUAAUGUUUGAGGAAGUUUGGCAUAUGAUUGAUGUAUUUGUAUGUUUCAUAUAAUUAUUAAAUACAUUGUAUUAAAGUCAUGAGAAUCAACAAGAUAUAUAUCGUUUUCUUCUUGUGCUAAUGCUAUACUAUUUUGAUUUGAAAUUCAAGACAAAUGGAUGUGGAAUUUCAGUAAUAACAAUUGGAACUAGACAUUCCUUAUUGAGACAUUUGAACAAUUA